rnacentral:lncRNA from 1 species
UGAUCUGAUUUUGGCUCUCUUAGUUGAAGUUUAUGCUUCAUACCUGAGAGUAAAUCGGAUCAUAGCUUGCGGGGACCUUUUUUUAUGGUCAACGCGAAGUGCCGUUUGAUUUCUGUGAUCCCUCUAGCUUUGCUUGGUUGUUGUUCAAGACUUCUAAGCACCCUCAAGUACAAUAGUUGAUGAUAUUUGAUGAUAAUAUUGGUGUAUACUCACAUAGGAAUGGACGAGGCGUUAGUGACUUAAUAACAACGAAAGACUAUUCGUUUAUGUUUUGUUUCAAUUUGUAAUGUAAUGUAAUACAUUUGAUUUAAUAAAACGAAACUAUU